rnacentral:rRNA from 1 species
AACGAACGCUGGCGGCAGGCUUAACACAUGCAAGUCGAGCGCCCCGCACGGGGAGCGGCAGCCGGGUGAGUAACGCGUGGGAAUCCACCUAUCUCUAGGGGCUAACACAGAGAAAUUUGUGCUAAGACCUUGUACGUACUUCGGGCGAGAGCUUUAUCGGGGAUAGUAGAGGCCGAGUUGGAUUAGCUAGUUGGUGGGGUAAAGGACUACCAAGGCGACGAUCAAUAGCUGGUCUGAGAGGUUGACCGGCCACAUUGGGACUGAGACACGGCCCAAACUCCUACGGGAGGCAGCAGUGGGGAAUAUUGGACAAUGGGGGCAAGCCUGAUGCAGCGAUGCCGCGUGAGUGAUGACGGCCUUAGGGUUGUAAAGCUCUUUCACCAACGACGAUAAUGACGGUAGUGGGAGAAGAAGCCCCGGCUAACUUCGUGCCAGCCGCCGCAGUAAAAC